GAAGAGGAGACUGUGCAAGCAGGAAGCAGAUCCUGCAACAAGGGUGUUGGGCUCUGCCUUGCCUCCCAACGGUUCAUCAGAAUCACGGGACGAGGAGGAUGAUGAGUUCGUCCCUGAGAAUGUGACCUUCGCUCCUAAAGACGUGACCC